UGGGGAAUAUUGGACAAUGGGCGCAAGCCUGAUCCAGCAAUGCCGCGUGUGUGAAGAAGGCCUGCGGGUUGUAAAGCACUUUUGUUCGGGAAGAAAUCAUGCUGGUUAAUACCUGGUAUGGAUGACGGUACCGAAAGAAUAAGCACCGGCUAACUUCGUGCCAGCAGCCGCGGUAAUACGAAGGGUGCAAGCGUUAAUCGGAAUUACUGGGCGUAAAGGGUGCGUAGGCGGCCUUUUAAGUCGGAUGUGAAAUCCCCGGGCUCAACCUGGGAAUGGCAUUCGAUACUGGGAGGCUAGAGUUUGGGAGAGGGUGGUGGAAUUCCCGGUGUAGCGGUGAAAUGCGUAGAGAUCGGGAGGAACAUCAGUGGCGAAGGCGGCCACCUGGCCUAAAACUGACGCUGAGGCACGAAAGCGUGGGGAGCAAACA
rnacentral:rRNA from 1 species